rnacentral:rRNA from 1 species
AGAGUUUGAUCAUGGCUCAGGACGAACGCUGGCGGCGCGCCUAACACAUGCAAGUCGAACGAGAGAGAAGGAGCUUGCUUCUUCGAUCGAGUGGCGAACGGGUGAGUAACGCGUGAGGAACCUGCCUCAAAGAGGGGGACAACAGUUGGAAACGACUGCUAAUACCGCAUAAGCCCACGGGUCGGCAUCGAUCUGAGGGAAAAGGAGCAAUCCGCUUUGAGAUGGCCUCGCGUCCGAUUAGCUAGUUGGUGAGGUAACGGCCCACCAAGGCAACGAUCGGUAGCCGGACUGAGAGGUUGAACGGCCACAUUGGGACUGAGACACGGCCCAGACUCCUACGGGAGGCAGCAGUGGGGAAUAUUGCACAAUGGGGGAAACCCUGAUGCAGCGACGCCGCGUGGAGGAAGAAGGUCUUCGGAUUGUAAACUCCUGUUGUUGAGGAAGAUAAUGACGGUACUCAACAAGGAAGUGACGGCUAACUACGUGCCAGCAGCCGCGGUAAAACGUAGGUCACAAGCGUUGUCCGGAAUUACUGGGUGUAAAGGGAGCGCAGGCGGGAAGACAAGUUGGAAGUGAAAUCUAUGGGCUCAACCCAUAAACUGCUUUCAAAACUGUUUUUCUUGAGUAGUGCAGAGGUAGGCGGAAUUCCCGGUGUAGCGGUGGAAUGCGUAGAUAUCGGGAGGAACACCAGUGGCGAAGGCGGCCUACUGGGCACCAACUGACGCUGAGGCUCGAAAGUGUGGGUAGCAAACAGGAUUAGAUACCCUGGUAGUCCACACCGUAAACGAUGAUUACUAGGUGUUGGAGGAUUGACCCCUUCAGUGCCGCAGUUAACACAAUAAGUAAUCCACCUGGGGAGUACGACCGCAAGGUUGAAACUCAAAGGAAUUGACGGGGGCCCGCACAAGCAGUGGAGUAUGUGGUUUAAUUCGACGCAACGCGAAGAACCUUACCAAGUCUUGACAUCCCUUGACGAACAUAGAAAUAUGUUUUCUCUUCGGAGCAAGGAGACAGGUGUGCAUGGUUGUCGUCAGCUCGUGUCGUGAGAUGUUGGGUUAAGUCCCGCAACGAGCGCAACCCUUAUGGUCAGUUACUACGCAAGAGGACUCUGGCCAGACUGCCGUUGACAAAACGGAGGAAGGUGGGGAUGACGUCAAAUCAUCAUGCCCUUUAUGACUUGGGCUACACACGUACUACAAUGGCGUUAAACAGAGAGAAGCAAGACCGCGAGGUGGAGCAAAACUCAGAAACAACGUCCCAGUUCGGACUGCAGGCUGCAACUCGCCUGCACGAAGUCGGAAUUGCUAGUAAUCGUGGAUCAGCAUGCCACGGUGAAUACGUUCCCGGGCCUUGUACACACCGCCCGUCACACCAUGAGAGCCGGGGGGACCCGAAGUU